rnacentral:rRNA from 1 species
AGUGAACGCUGGCGGUAGGCCUAACACAUGCAAGUCGAACGGCAGCACAGGAGAGCUUGCUCUCUGGGUGGCGAGUGGCGGACGGGCGAGGAAUACAUCGGAAUCUACUCUGUCGUGGGGGAUAAAGUAGGGAAACUUACGCUAAUACCGCAUACGACCUUCGGGCGAAAGCAGGGGAUCUUCGGACCUUGCGCGAUUGAACGAGCCGAUGGCGGAUUAGCUAGGUGGCGGGGUAAAGGCCCACCAAGGCGACGAUCCGUAGCUGGUCUGAGAGGAUGAUCAGCCACACUGGAACUGAGACACGGUCCAGACGCCUACGGGGGGCAGCAGUGGGGAAUAUUGGACAAUGGGCGCAAGCCUGAUCCAGCCAUACCGCGUGGGUGAAGAAGGCCUUCGGGUCGUAAAGCCCUUUUGUUGGGAAAGAAAUCCAGCUGGUUAAUACCCGGUUGGGAUGACGGUACCCAAAGAAUAAGCACCGGCUAACUUCGUGCCAGCAGCCGCCGCAG